rnacentral:lncRNA from 1 species
AGAAUGACUGACCCAUGGGCUGGGUUCCUGAAGGAAAUAAUCAGUUAGUCAAUAAAGAUUAUUAGUAUUAAGUGCCUACUAUGGGAUAGGCACUGUGCUAGGCACCAGAGUUACAAAAAGAGGGAAAAGACUGUCUUUGCUAGCAAGGAGCUUACAAUCUAAAGAAGGAGACAACAAACAAAUAUAUACAAGUUCAGUAAAUUGGAGUUCCUCCUAGAACCUCUGGUCAAAGAAAUCUGCAUCCUUCUCCAGGCUGCACUGCUGAUUCCUUUCUACAGGACUUUUUCUACCAUGAUGGAACUAGGUAUUUUCCCUCUUCCCCUUUUUAGGUAUUGUCUUCCCCCAUUAGAAUGUAAGCUCCUUGAGGGCAAAGAGGAUCUUUCUUUAUGCUUGCAUUUAUAUUUCUAGAGCUUAAUGUCCCAUAACUGAUUGAUUGGCCGACAUCACACAGGUGGUAAGCAUUGGAGGCAGGAUUUUUUUUUAACCCCUUACCUUCCAUUUUAGAAUAUUUUAAGCUAAAAAAGUGGUUGUAAGGACUAGGCAAUGGGGGUUAAGUGACUUGGCCAGGGCACACAGCUAGGAAGUACCUCAGGUCAGAUAUGAACUCACAACUUCCUGAAUCUAGGCCUGGCUCCUAAUCCACUGAGUGACCUAACCCCUCCCUGGAGGCAUGAUUUGAACCCAAGGCUCUCUGACUCCAGAGCCAGUUCUCUUGCUAUUGCACCAUAUUGCUUUGUCCACCUUACACAUAAGUGCUGCCUUCUAGAGAACUCUCCUGGAGUAUCUAGGUAGUACAGUGUAUGGAGUGCCAGCCUAGAGUAGGGAGGACAGGAUUCAAAUCUGGCUUCAGACAUUCCCUAGUUGUAUGAUCCUGGGCAAGUCAUUUAACCUCACUUGCCUAGCUCUGAUAGAAAGUGCAGGGUUUGUUGUUAUUUUUAAGGAACUCUAGUGCCCUCAUGCUGGUUCCUUAAAUGGACAAUGCAUGUUGAGGAUGAGCAAUGCUCCUGCCUGGCCCCCUGAGAACAAAAUUGGAAAACUGGGUGGAAAUUCCUGAAGGGUCUGAUUUUUAACUCUCUCUGAAC